rnacentral:misc_RNA from 1 species
AACGCAUAUUGCGCCCCCUGGUAUUCCGGGGGGCAUACCUGUCCGAGCGUCAUAGCUGCCCUCAAGCCCGGCUUGUGUGUUGGGCCGCUGUCCCCCCAAGGGACAGGCCCGAAAGGCAGCGGCGGCACCGGGUCCGGUCCUCGAGCGUAUGGGGCUCUGUCACCCGCUCUGUAGGCCCGGCCGGUCGCUAGCCGACGACUCCAUCCUUUCUCCAGGUUGACCUCGGAUCAGGUAGGGAUACCCGCUGAACUUAA